GAGAAAUUUAAUUUUGGUUUAUUAAUUUAUUAAAAUUUGAAACAUUACAAAAGUUGAUAUAAACAAAGGUUAAAGAGAGAAAAAUGUAUUUCUUGAGAGUUUUUAGAUGUGGGUUUUAAAAAAUAAUUAUAAAAAAGUUAGAUAUAGGGGAUUUUAUUGGAAAAGUAAAUUGGAGUGCCAGCAGCUGCGGUUAUACUCAGUUUUUAUAAUUAUGAAUUUUAAGUAAAAAUAUAUAAUAGAAAGAUUAGAAGAGAUUUUAGGUAAUAUUUUUAAAUUAUUUUUUAUUUCUAGAUUUAAAUGAUAUAAGGGUUAAAAGAAUUUAAGAAUUAGAUAUAAACCUGUUGGUAAUAAUAAUUAUACUAGUUAAUAAGUUUUUUUUCUAUAAAAAAAUAAAAAGAUUUGGCAGUUAAUUUAAAUUUUCUGGGGAGUGUGUUUAAUAAAGAGAAUGUACACUUAUUAAUUUGUUAACUAAGGUUUGGUUAGUGUACGGUUGUUUUUAGAUUUUUUGAAGAAUAGAUAAUCUGAUUGCAAAUCAUUGUGCUGCUUGUUGGUUAAACAUUAAAUUCACUACAUUUAAGGUUUUUUUUGUGAAAAGAUUUUUAGAAAAAUUAGGACUAGAAAGUAAAAGUUUAUGAAUAAGAAGUUUUGAAUAUAAUAUUCGUUUGAGUACACAUUGCCCGUCAAUUUUUUUUGGAAAAUAAGUCGUAACAUGGUAAGUUUAGCUGAAGCUGAAUUUUUUU
rnacentral:rRNA from 1 species